rnacentral:rRNA from 1 species
CCUACGGGUGGCUGCAGUGGGGAAUAUUGGACAAUGGGGGCAACCCUGAUCCAGCCAUGCCGCGUGUGUGAAGAAGGCCCUCGGGUUGUAAAGCACUUUCAGUGAGGAAGAACGCCUGGUGGUUAAUACCCAUCAGGAAAGACAUCACUCACAGAAGAAGCACCGGCUAACUCCGCGCCAGCAGCCGCGGUAAUACGGAGGGUGCGAGCGUUAAUCGGAAUUACUGGGCGUAAAGCGCGCGUAGGUGGCUUGAUAAGCCGGUUGUGAAAGCCCCGGGCUCAACCUGGGAACGGCAUCCGGAACUGUCAAGCUAGAGUGCAGGAGAGGAAGGUAGAAUUCCCGGUGUAGCGGUGAAAUGCGUAGAGAUCGGGAGGAAUACCAGUGGCGAAGGCGGCCUUCUGGACUGACACUGACACUGAGGUGCGAAAGCGUGGGUAGCAAACAGGAUUAGAUACCCCUGUAGUC